CGUUACAGCGGUACCAGGGCUGUGUAUGCUGAAUAGUAAUCGUCCGGGAUCAAUCUCAAGUGGUCAAUUUGGCCGACGACACCGGCCAAAUAGCCGCCCGGCAAGGGUGCCUUUAUUUACAACCAUAACAUCCGGACCCCAGACCCAACGGUAGCUCCGGGUCCGGAUCAAGCAAUCAUGCGGGUUUGACCGUGACACCGUGGCCGAACAGCUCCGGUUCCUGUCCUUCCCACCCCCUAGACACCCCGUACGGUGUGACGUCCGAAGGGAUAAUCAGAUCGAACGCUCGAUGCACACCCCGGUGCACAAAGAGUAAAUCAAAGAAGCGACCUUUUUCCCCCUCUCGGAACUCAAAAAGGACACAAAACACGCAAAGCAACUCAUCGAAGCAACGACGGUGAACGAAAAAAGCAAGUGGUUCCGGUUGUCUGCUUCAAUCCGUCAAAAGGCCCCAUCACCCCCCGGGAAUCAAUCGCAAUCGGGUUGCAAAGGAAGCAAGCGAAAAUCAAUCAUCGGCGCCACUAAUAACCCUUCGGUGUCGCAAGCGGCUUUGUCACAGCGAAACCUUAACCACAUUCUCGAUAAUGGGAAACUGUACUCUCAGCGACAGGACCUCACCAACCCCACGAUGGCGCAACGAAUUGCCAACGGUUGCGUGUGCGUGAAUGUGGCGUGGCCUUCGGAACGAUGUGCCUGUGUGACUGUACCAGCAAAGCGGAUGGCCGAAUGGUCCGCCGUUGCCGAUUCGCCACGGUUGUCGUGUUGCCUGUGCACCGUGAUUGAGAUAGAUCGGGCGAUGGGCAAAUAAAUGGUUUCUACAAGAAGUGCGCCCGUGUGGGAAAGCGUCGUUCAAUCGGCAACCCGCAACCGAAGCCGAAGCGAAUCCUUUUUUUCUUUUUGCUCGUUUGUUAUAAUCCUUCGCCCUGCUGGUUGUGCUGGAAGAAGUGAACUGAAGUAAAUAGAAAAUGAAACAUUAUCCUGGUACGGUGGUGUGGUUGGGGUGCAACGGUGACAAAUGGGGUGACAUUUAAAAGUGACAUCGAUUGACAAAUAAAUCG